AACGCUAGCUACAGGCUUAACACAUGCAAGUCGAGGGGAAACGACAUCGAAAGCUUGCUUUUGAUGGGCGUCGACCGGCGCACGGGUGAGUAACGCGUAUCCAACCUGCCCACCACUUGGGGAUAACCUUGCGAAAGUAAGACUAAUACCCAAUGAUAUCCCACGAAGGCAUCCGAAUGGGAUUAAAGAUUUAUCGGUGAUGGAUGGGGAUGCGUCUGAUUAGCUUGUUGGCGGGGUAACGGCCCACCAAGGCAACGAUCAGUAGGGGUUCUGAGAGGAAGGUCCCCCACAUUGGAACUGAGACACGGUCCAAACUCCUACGGGAGGCAGCAGUGAGGAAUAUUGGUCAAUGGGCGAGAGCCUGAACCAGCCAAGUAGCGUGCAGGAUGACGGCCCUAUGGGUUGUAAACUGCUUUUAUAAGGGAAUAAAGUGGGUCUCGUGAGACUUUUUGCAUGUACCUUAUGAAUAAGGACCGGCUAAUUCCGUGCCAGCAGCCGCGGUAAUACGGAAGGUCCGGGCGUUAUCCGGAUUUAUUGGGUUUAAAGGGAGCGUAGGCCGGAGAUUAAGCGUGUUGUGAAAUGUAGUGGCUCAACCUCUGCACUGCAGCGCGAACUGGUCUUCUUGAGUACGCACAACGUGGGCGGAAUUCGUGGUGUAGCGGUGAAAUGCUUAGAUAUCACGAAGAACUCCGAUUG
rnacentral:rRNA from 1 species